GCUGUGAAAAAAAAGAGGAAUUCUCAAGGAAAUACAUAUAUUGUAACUCGAGUCGUGUCGUGCUCAGAGGAGCUGAGAGCUAUUUGCCAAAUAUACAAAACUAGGACAACAACCGCAUCUACGUCAACGUCAACCACAACCCGUACAACGUCUACAACAACACACGUCUUGUCUACCGAGAAGACUAGUCCCGCAUCAGACCAGACAGGAAACACAAGGUCUACACAGGCAAUAGCUGGUUCAACCGAAUCGCAAAGACAAAUCAGCCCAAAGAGUGAUUCAAGUGGCAUGAUUGCUGGUGUUGCAGUUGGUGUAAUAGCACUGCUGGUAUUAGCUGGACUAGUUGUUCUUAUCUGGAUGAAAAG